rfam:Schistosoma mattheei strain Denwood, Zambia genome assembly, scaffold: SMTD_contig0001117
ACCAGCUGACGGGUUUCGAAUAGGACGAAACGCGCGUCCUGGAU